rnacentral:miRNA from 1 species
UUGGUGGUUAGUAGAAUUAAGACU